rnacentral:rRNA from 1 species
CCUACGGGAGGCAGCAGUAGGGAAUAUUCCACAAUGGGCGAAAGCCUGAUGGAGCAACGCCGCGUGGGUGAAGAAGGUCUUCGGAUCGUAAAACCCUGUUGUUAGAGAAGAAAGUGCGUGAGCGUAACUGUCCACGUUUCGACGGUAUCUAACAAGAAAGCCACGGCUAACUACGUGCGAGCCGCCGCGGUAAUACGUAGGUGGGAAGUGUUAUCCGGUUUGAUUGGGGGUAAAGGGCACGCAGGCGGUCUGUUAAGUCUGAUGUGAAAGCCUUCGGCUUAACCGGAGUAGUGCAUUGGAAACUGGGAGACUUGAGUGCAGAAGAGGAAAGUGGAACUCCAUGUGUAGCGGUGAAAUGCGUAGAUAUAAGGAAGAACACCAGUGGCGAAAGCGGCUCUCUGGUCUGUAACUGACGCUGAGGUUCGAAAGCGUGGGUAGCAAACAGGAUUAGAUACCCGAGUAGUC